rnacentral:rRNA from 1 species
GAUGAACGCUGGCGGCGUGCUUAACACAUGCCAGUCGAACGGUGAAGGCGGAGCUUGCUCUGCUGGAUCAGUGGCGAACGGGUGAGUAACACGUGAGCAAUCUGCCCCUGACUCUGGGAUAAGCGCUGGAAACGGCGUCUAAUACUGGAUACGAGCUGCGAAGGCAUCUUCAGCAGCUGGAAAGAAUUUCGGUCAGGGAUGAGCUCGCGGCCUAUCAGCUUGUUGGUGAGGUAAUGGCUCACCAAGGCGUCGACGGGUAGCCGGCCUGAGAGGGUGACCGGCCACACUGGGACUGAGACACGGCCCAGACUCCUACGGGAGGCAGCAGUGGGGAAUAUUGCACAAUGGGCGAAAGCCUGAUGCAGCAACGCCGCGUGAGGGACGACGGCCUUCGGGUUGUAAACCUCUUUUAGUAGGGAAGAAGCGAAAGUGACGGUACCUGCAGAAAAAGCGCCGGCUAACUACGUG